rnacentral:lncRNA from 1 species
AAGCACUUUUCGGACUCCAUGAUGUUAGGAAACUGCAAAACACCUUCUUCUGAGUCCAGAGACUGGAAAAUGAACUCUUGUGUGGCCUCUAGUACUAGGAUGGCUGAGUUUCUUCAACCUGUUGCAUGCGAAGAAAGUGAAGCAAAGAGAACACAGGCCCUUUUGGUCUGCAAAAGAAUGGAAGGAGUGAGGGAAUGAAGAGAGGAAUA